rnacentral:rRNA from 1 species
CCGACGGGGGACAGCAGGGGGGAAUAUUGGGCAAUGGGAGCAAGCCUGACCCAGCAAUGCCGCGUGAAGGAAGAAGGCUUUCGGGUUGUAAACUUCUUUGACAGGGGAAGAGCAGAAGACGGUACCCUGAAAACAAGCCACGGCUAACUACGUGCCAGCAGCCGCGGUAAUACGUAGGUGGCAAGCGUUGUCCGGAUUUACUGGGUGUAAAGGGCGUGUAGCCGGGAAGGCAAGUCAGAUGUGAAAUCUGGAGGCUCAACCUCCAAAUUGCAUUUGAAACUGUUUUUCUUGAGUACUGGAGAGGCAGACGGAAUUCCUUGUGUAGCGGUGAAAUGCGUAGAUAUAAGGAGGAACACCAGUGGCGAAGGCGGUCUGCUGGACAGCAACUGACGGUGAGGCGCGAAAGCGUGGGGAGCAAACAGGAUUAGAUACCCGUGUAGUC